AUACUUCCUAGAAGAGGAGAUACCAUGAUCAUGAAGAUAGUUUUUCUUGUAUGAGGUUUCUCUAUUGCACUCCAAAUAUGCUGACCCUUGUGAUCUUUCCAAACACAAGAAAAUCAGCAGCACAAUUUGUGAUAGUGGGGUACCUCAUUUGCAUUCUUCCCUA